rnacentral:ncRNA from 1 species
AAACAGACAGGUUUGGUCCUAGCUUUCCUAUUAACUCUUAGCAAGAUUACACAUGCAAGUAUCCCCGCCCCAGUGAAAACACCCUCUAAAUCACCACAAUCAAAAGGAGUAAGUAUCAAGCACGUAUAACGCAGCUCAAAACACUUUGCUCAGCCACACCCCCACGGGAAACAGCAGUGACAAACCUUUAGCAAUAAACGAAAGUUUAACUAAGCUAUGCUGCACCCACGGUUGGUUAAUUUCGUGCCAGACACUGCGGCCAUACGAUUAACCCAAGCUGAUCGAAACCGGCGUAAAGAGUGUUUUAGAUCUAUUUUAAUAAAGCUAAAUUCCAUCUAAGUUGUAAAAAACACCAGCUGACGUAAAAUAAACUACGAAAGUGGCUUUAAAGCUUCUGAAUAUACAAUAGCUAAGAUCCAAACGGAUUAGAUACCCCACUAUGCUUAGCCCUAAACCUCAAUAGUUAGAACAACAAAACUACUCGCCAGAAUACUACAAGCAACAGCUUGAAACUCAAAGGACUUGGCAGUGCUUCAUAUCCCUCUAGAGGAGCCUGUUCUAUAAUCGAUAAACUCCGAUUCACCUCACCACCUCUCGCCUAGUCUAUAUACCGCCAUCCUCAGCAAACCCUAAUAAAGGUUAUAAAGUAAGCAUAAGUGCCCCCGCAAAAACGUUAGGUCAAGGUGUAGCUUAUGAGGUGGUAAGAAAUGGGCUACAUUUUCUACCCCAGAAAACCCCACAAUAGCUCUUAUGAAAUCUAAGAGCCCAAGGAGGAUUUAACAGUAUAUUAAGAGCAGAGUGCUUAAUUGAAUAAGGCCAUAAAGCACGCACACACUGCCCGUCACCCUCCUCAAAUAUAUUUAAGGAUCAACUUAACUAAACACCCCUCAUAUCUAUAUAGAGGAGAUAAGUCGUAACACGGUAAGUGUACUGGAAAGUGCACUUGGAUAAACCAAGGC